rnacentral:rRNA from 1 species
GACGAACGCUGGCGGCGUGCUUAACACAUGCAAGUCGAACGGAAAGGCCCUGCUUUUGUGGGUUGCUCGAGUGGCGAACGGGUGAGUAACACGUGAGUAACCUGCCCUUGACUUUGGGAUAACUUCAGGAAACUGGGGCUAAUACCGGAUAGGAGCUCCUGCUGCAUGGUGGGGGUUGGAAAGUUUCGGCGGUUGGGGAUGGACUCGCGGCUUAUCAGCUUGUUGGUGGGGUAGUGGCUUACCAAGGCUUUGACGGGUAGCCGGCCUGAGAGGGUGACCGGCCACAUUGGGACUGAGAUACGGACCAGACUCCUACGGGAGGCAGCAGUGGGGAAUAUUGCACAAUGGGCGGAAGCCUGAUGCAGCAACGCCGCGUGCGGGAUGACGGCCUUCGGGUUGUAAACCGCUUUCGCCUGUGACGAAGCGUGAGUGACGGUAAUGGGUAAAGAAGCACCGGCUAACUACGUG